rnacentral:rRNA from 1 species
GACGAACGCUGGCGGCGUGCUUAACACAUGCAAGUCGAACGGAAAGGCCCUGCUUUUGUGGGGUUCUCGAGUGGCGAACGGGUGAGUAACACGUGAGUAACCUGCCCUUGACUUUGGGAUAACUUCAGGAAACUGGGGCUAAUACCCGAUAGGAGCUCCUGCUGCAUGGUGGGGGUUGGAAAGUUUCGGCGGUUGGGGAUGGACUCGCGGCUUAUCAGCUUGUUGGUGGGGUAGUGGCUUACCAAGGCUUUGACGGGUAGCCGGCCUGAGAGGGUGACCGGGGACAAUGGGACUGAGAGACGGCGCAGACUGGAACGGGAGGCAGCAGUGGGGAAUCUGGCACAAUGGGGGGAAGUGUGAUGCAGCAACGCCGCGUGCGGGAUGCCGGCUUUCGGGUUGAAAACCGCUUUGGCCUGUGACGAAGCGGGAGUGACGGUAAUGGGUAAAGAAGCACCGGCUAACUACGUG